UAGCAACAUAUUUUUAAGUUUCCGGUCUUUGAACGUCUUGCUGGCAUGCUUUUGUUUUAGCUGUUAUUUGGUGGAAGAAGAAGGUCGUUUGAAGAUUGGGACAUCUAGGGAAAGUUUAUUCCAUCACCAGGACAGAAGAGAGUCUUGAUGUAUACUUACAUCUUACCCUGAGAGAUGGUGGGACCAGUUAAGCAGUGCUAGAAGAUCUGAGAGGAGCAUGCUGCAGUGCAAGGAGGUAUAAGAGCUGUGAGCUGUUCAUUUUCUUUCAAAGAAGAACCAAGAACACACAAGAAGGAUGCAGUGGUGUCCCAGGCGCAAACACAGGAUGUGUCCCAAAUGUAAAGAGGAUGUGCCUCAAACAGAAAGGAUGCACCAGAACCUCCAGAUGAGUGAUUGCCUGGGCUGAAAGUACAUGUUUCUCAAGGACCUCUGAUGGGCGGCGAUAAUAAAAAUAAUGUCACUGCUCGAGGAAGUGUUUUCCUGGCCCCUCCCCUGUCAUAAUCACAGCACUCCCUCAGCCCAUUAUCUCAGUCAGGACCACUGCUGGAGAGAACAGGGCACUGCAUGUUCUAUGUAUCAGACAUAGGCAUAAUUCUCCGCAGUACUUUCACUGUAACACAUCACAUGCAGUGAUGACUUUUUUAGCUACUUGUUUCUAAUGUAUGUGUGAAACUGAUCAUUAUUUUGGCCUGGUAAAAAUAUAACUGCACAAUAUUAUCAUUAAGGAUCAAAAACAACUUUUUGAACUCACACAGGGUUUGCCUACAAAUGCUGGUUUAUUAGAACACAGACAAGCCUGAUAGUGGCCCAAACCCAAAUUAAACAGUAUGGACAGGCACCCAAAAACAGUACACUAGAGUAUGGCAUACCUGUUAACUGUACAAAACUAGGUGAAAAGAAGAAUCAAUCAAAACUAAAUACAUAAAUUGUCAUAGGCAGAAAACAGAACUUCCGAAUAGCACAAUGUCCAAGUUAAUUAAAGGGAUUAGUGCGAGUGGAAACAGAUGUACAUGAUUAGUAAUUGAGUAAGGAUUAGUUACUGUAAACAGGACCUGGGUCAUGUCACGUGGUCUGUAGGUUGUUAGCUAACUGAAGAUCUUGUGAAAUGGAUUUAUAGAUUUAUAUAAAAUAAAUUAUUCUUCUUCA